rnacentral:tRNA from 1 species
UACCCCGUGGUGUAACGGUUACACAGCGCCCUUUGGAGGCGUUAUUCUUGGUUCGAAUCCAAGCGGGGUAGCCA